GACGAACGCUGGCGGCGUGCUUAACACAUGCAAGUCGAGCGGUAAGGCCCUUUCGGGGGUACACGAGCGGCGAACGGGUGAGUAACACGUGGGUGACCUGCCCUCAGCUCUGGGAUAAGCCUGGGAAACCGGGUCUAAUACUGGAUAUGACUCCAUGACGCAUGUUGUGGGGUGGAAAGCCUUGUGCGGCUGAGGAUGGGCCCGCGGCCUAUCAGCUUGUUGGUGGGGUGAUGGCCUACCAAGGCGACGACGGGUAGCCGGCCUGAGAGGGCGACCGGCCACACUGGGCCUGAGACACGGCCCAGACUCCUACGGGAGGCAGCAGUGGGGAAUCUUGCGCAAUGGGCGAAAGCCUGACGCAGCGACGCCGCGUGAGGGAUGACGGCCU
rnacentral:rRNA from 1 species